CCGUCCGAGAAUUUUGAGCCCAAAAAAAAAAUUAGAUGUAUACAUCUUUUUUUAGUUAGGUAUUGUCCAGCACUCCAGCCCAAGCCCGUCCAGUUCACUCGACUAGUCGACUUCGAGUCUUCGACUACGCUCCAGCCUCCAGUUCGUCUAAGUGAGAUCUCUCCUCGGCUCCUCGCCUCCUCCUGUCCUCCAGUCCUCCUCCUCCUCCAGCUCUGGGCUCUGGCUUUCUCGGCUAGUCGGCUUCUCCAGUCCAGCCUCCAGUUCGUCACUUCGUCUAAUCGUCUCUCAGACUCUCACUUUCUCCUAGUCCUCGGCUGAGUCGGCUCCUCCUGUGCUCCAGUCCUCCUCCUCCUCUAAACUUCUACAGCUCUGGGCUCUGGCAUCAAGUCCAUCAACAUCAAUUUGGGGCAAUGAUUCAAUGUUGUAUUGGAUUGAAGAUUUCGUGGAUUGAAGAAUGAAGAAUGAAGGUUGCGGACUUGCGGUCAAAUUCUCUUGGUUUGGAAAUCUGCUCUGUCUCUGGAAGAUUUGGUGCAGGAGAAUAUCAUGAAGGAAUUUAGCAACUGGAUCAUAGGUUUUAAGUGAAUGGCAAAAUCUUGAGUCUACUGCAAUACUGAGGUGUUU